CUUUUUUUGGUCUUUAAAAGGUGGACAUGAGUAGCACUGAGUAGAGGAAACAGUCUUACUCUUGUGCAGUUUGAGGAUAGUGUAGGACAUGGUGGGCAGCACUCGUUCUCCCUCCAAGAUGUAGAUGUCCCAGAUCCUGAGCGUCAGGGUAAAGGGAGUCUUGACACAAACGGAACAAAAGGUGUUGUUUCAGUUUGGGCAUCAUCUUCUUGAGGAUGCGGUCGUGGUGAUCCUGGAAACGUAUCAGCUUUGGGAACCCGGGGAUAAAAAACCCUAAAGCAACAACUGCAUCUCAAGAGAUCCAUCUGUUAUCAUACUGUGUCUGCUGUGGAAUCCUUUAGGUUUCUGGGGUCCACAAUCUCCCAGUACCUUAAGUAAAGGUCCAACAUCGAUACCAACAGGAAAAAGGCCCAUCAGAAGAUGUACUUCCUGCGCCAUCAUAGGAAGUUAAACCUGCCUCAAGAGCUGCUAAUCCAACUUUCCACAGCAAUUAUUCAGUCUGUUCUCGUCACACCUUAAACAUAACUGAAAAAAAAACCCGUCUUCCCUCUGGCUACAAAAAACACUUUACGUCUAAACAGACACAAAAACAGUUUCUUUUCACAGGCUGUCACUAUUAUUAACACUAACACAUAGUGCCAUGAAAAAAGUAAUAGUUUAGCAUGUCGAAAAAAUAAGUAAAAGUCAUAGGAUUGUAGAUAAUGUGACAUACAUAAUUCACCUUUGUUGUUAAGUGUUGUUCUACACACCGAUGAUUAUAAACACAGUACUUAGUGUUCUUAGCGUGGUACUUCAUUUAAGUAUGACUGUGCAGGGAUCGCGGUCCCUUUAAGUGUUCUGAAUGUGUGAUGACGUUGGACCAAUGUGGGUGUUGUUUCCUAUUGAAAAUAAAUCACACGCACGUUUGUGGGCUCAAAGUGAGAAAUUGUCUCUUGCACUUUCUACAGAAUAGUAUUUAAAAAAAAGUCACAGUAUAGCAUGUCGGAAAAAAAAACAUAGUAUAGCAUGACGAAAAAAGUCAUAAAGUCAUAGUAUAGCAUGCCCUCCGUUCAUGACUUCUACUCUUCCAGAGUCAGGACACGGGCAGGAACCAUCACUGCUGACCCAUCUCACCCCGGACACAACCUGUUCCAGCUCCUCCCCUCUGGGGGGGGCGCUACAGAGCCCUGUACGCCAAAACCAACAGACUCAGGAACAGUUUCUACCCACAAGCCAUCUCUCUGAUGAACAGCUGACU